rnacentral:rRNA from 1 species
AAUCCGGUAUUAAAAUAAUUGGAUAAAUAAAAUAAAGCGAUAAUAUUUAUAUAAAUAAGUGUUUUAAGAGGGGCUUUAUUCAGAUUAGUUAGUUGGUAGUUUAAAAGACUAACCAAGACAAUGAUCUGUAGUUGGUAUGAAAGUAUGUACAACCGCACUAGAACUGAAACACGGUCUAGACUUACAUUUGUGAGGCAGCAGUCAAGAGUAUUUCCCAAUGAACGAAAGUUUGAGGAUGCUAUGUUAAAUUUAUUAAUUUUAAAUAAUAAUAGAAUAAAUAUAAUGAAUAUUCUUUUAUGAUGAGAGCAGUCAAAGACAUGUGCCAGAAGACUCGGUUAUGCAUGCUGCUCAAGUGUUGCUCUAUUAUUAAAGGCGUAAAGGGUAAGUAGGUGGAUAUUGAAGUCUUAAUUUAAAUAUUAAAGUUAAAUACUUUAAAAAUAAUUAAGAUACUCUAUAUCUAGAGUUUUAUAGAGGAUUAUAGAAUUUCCAGUGUAUCAAUAAAAUGAAAUAAAAUUGGAAGGAAUACCAAAGGCGAAGGCAAUAAUCUGGGUAAAAACUGACACUGAAUUACGAAAGCUAAGGGAGCAAAUUCGAUUAGAGACCGAAGUAGUCUUAGCUGUAAACUUUGUAUAUUAAGUAUAAGUAUAUUAUAUAUUUGUGCUUUAGAUAACUCGUUAAAUAUACCGCCUGAAUACUACGAUCGCAAGAUUAAAACUCAAAUUAAUAGGCGGUUCUGGAAAUAGAUGGAGGAGCAUGUGGUUUAAUGCGACGAUCCGCGAGAAACCUUACCUAAUUUAGUAUAUAUAUUUUAUAUAUAUUCAGAUGCUGCAUGGCUGUCGUCAGUUCGUGUUUUGAAACGUCUGGUUAAUUCCUUAUAACGAACGCAACCUCUAUUUAAUAUUAUAUUAUAUUAAAAAUUAUCAUUCGAAAAAUGAUUGAAAUAGGAGAUUACGUCAAGUCCUUAUGGCUCUUAUAAUUAGGGCUACUACAUGUGCUAUAAUGGAUAUUACAAUGGUUUAUAAAUCAGUAAUGAUACAUUAAUACUUAAAGAUAUUCUAAGUUCGGAUUGAAGACUGAAAAUCGUCUUCAUGAAGUAAGAUUCAUUAGUAAUCGAAAAAUAGAUUGUUUCGGUGAAUUAUCGACCCAGUUCGUACUAACCGCCCGUCACUAGGGCAAAUUUUAAUUUAAUCCAAAGUUUAGAUAUUUAUUAUAUCUUCUUUAUAUCUUUAUAAACUAUAUAAUAUAAUUCUUUAUUAAGAUAAAUUUGAGAUGCCUUAAAAGUCGUAACACGGUAAUUGUACAAGAAUGUGCAGUUG